GGAAAACUAGAAAAAAAUCAGUCAGCUGAAAGUGAAAAAUAUCCUUGAUGAGGAAUUGAAAACAUUUCAAGGACUAGAAUACUUAGAGCGGAUAAAGAGGCUCCUCAAAAAUAAGAAUAGGCAAGCUUUGCAAUGCUGUGUCCAAGAAGAGAUCUGGACCAUCCUGGGAAGACAUCAUAUGGUUGCAAUUCUAAAAGACAGGUGUUGAUGAGACAAAGCACGUUGCUCAAACUUCAGAAAAGAAAUUUUUAAAUCAAUAUUUUUCUACUACUAUCUAUGGUUAAACGAAUACAACUGUUUAUUAUUUAUAAAAUAAUAGUUGCCUCCGGCUGCUUCGCCAGAAAUAUCGUUUAUAUUUAUUUUCAGAUAAAUCGUUUGGUUAUAAUUUUAUGACCAUGAUUUA